rfam:Cyclobacterium lianum strain CGMCC 1.6102 genome assembly, contig: Ga0070154_112
CCUUGUGUUCCAUCAAUAGGAUACGUGCAUUUCUGGUAACGGAAUUGUGCGAAGCUAUCCGGACAAUAGUAUCCGUCCGAUAAACCCCAUCUUUCACAGUUGGCAGAUUGUGGUUAAUCUUGCGGUAUGAAAAGUCAGAUCGAACAAAAAAGGAGG